AGGGAAUGAGACCAGUGGGAAUACUGGUCUUGCAGAUUAAAAUGCUGCAUGAUUUUAUGAGCUACAAAGUACUGUGGAACACAGAUAUGCCCAUGGAAGAUAGAGUUCAGAAAAUUAAGUUCAGAAAAGCAGGUGUGCAGCAUACAAGACAAUCACCCCAGAGAACUUCUGCCUGUUCACUGUGCUUCAAUGAAUACGAGCCUUUCAGGACAUUUUGUAACCUGCACUUUCAGGUACCAGAUUGUUCCAUCUAUCCCUGGUCUUUUUGUGUCCCAGUUUGAUAAAAGAAGUCUGCAUGGAGCUGAAGAAGAG
rnacentral:lncRNA from 1 species